UACGUAGGGGGCAAGCGUUAAUCGGAAUUACUGGGCGUAAAGCGUGCGCAGGCGGCUCGGAAAGAAGGAUGUGAAAUCCCAGGGCUUAACCUUGGAACUGCAUUUUUAACUACCGGGCUAGAGUGUGUCAGAGGGAGGUGGAAUUCCGCGUGUAGCAGUGAAAUGCGUAGAGAUGCGGAGGAACACCGAUGGCGAAGGCAGCCUCCUGGGAUAACACUGACGGUCAGGCACGAAAGCGUGGGGAGCAAACAGG
rnacentral:rRNA from 1 species